GCAGUGGUGGUUCAGUGGUAGAAUUCUUGCCUUCCAUGUGGAACAUCUGGUUUUGAUUCCCAGCCAAUACA
rnacentral:tRNA from 1 species